UACGUAGGGGGCAAGCGUUGUCCGGAUUUAUUGGGCGUAAAGAGCGUGUAGGCGGCUAGGUAGGUCCGUUGUGAAAACUCGAGGCUCAACCUCGAGACGCCGGUGGAAACCAUCUAGCUAGAGUCCGGAAGAGGAGAAUGGAAUUCCCGGUGUAGCGGUGAAAUGCGCAGAUAUCGGGAAGAACACCCGUGGCGAAGGCGGGUCUCUGGGCCGAUACUGACGCUGAGGAGCGAAAGCGUGGGGAGCGAACAGG
rnacentral:rRNA from 1 species